GACAGGAGGUGCCGAGCGUUAGGCGGAAUCACUGGGCUUAAAGCGUGUGUAGGCGGGUCCGUAAGUACCUUGUGAAAUCCCAUGGCUCAACCAUGGAACUGCUUGGUAUACUGCGGAUCUUGAGCCACCUAGGGGCAAGUGGAACAAACGGUGGAGCGGUGAAAUGCGUAGAUAUCGUUUGGAACGCCAAUGGUGAAAACAACUUGCUGGGGGUGUGCUGACGCUGAGACACGGAAAGCCGGGGGGAGCAAACGGGG
rnacentral:rRNA from 1 species